UAACGCCAAGGUCGCGGGUUCGA
rnacentral:piRNA from 3 species